rnacentral:rRNA from 2 species
AAACUUUCAACAAUGGAUCUCUUGGUUCCGGCAUCGAUGAAGAACGCAGCGAACUGCGAUAAGUAAUGUGAAUUGCAGAAUUCAGUGAAUCAUCGAGUCUUUGAACGCACAUUGCGCCCCCUGGUAUUCCGGGGGGCAUGCCUGUCCGAGCGUCAUUG